AGCGAACGCUGGCGGCAGGCCUAACACAUGCAAGUCGAACGAACUCUUCGGAGUUAGUGGCGGACGGGUGAGUAACACGUGGGAACGUGCCUUUUGGUUCGGAAUAACUCAGGGAAACUUGUGCUAAUACCGAAUGUGCCCUUCGGGGGAAAGAUUUAUCGCCAUUAGAGCGGCCCGCGUCUGAUUAGCUAGUUGGUGAGGUAACGGCUCACCAAGGCGACGAUCAGUAGCUGGUCUGAGAGGAUGACCAGCCACACUGGGACUGAGACACGGCCCAGACUCCUACGGGAGGCAGCAGUGGGGAAUCUUGCGCAAUGGGGGAAAGCCUGACGAAGCCAUGCCGGGUGAAUGAUGAAGGUCUUAGGAUUGUAAAAUUCUUUCACCGGGGACGAUAAUGACGGUACCGGGAGAAGAAGCCCCGGCUAACUUCGUG
rnacentral:rRNA from 1 species